rnacentral:rRNA from 1 species
UGGUAUCUUCGUCGCAGAGUCAUUCUUACUGAAGAUAACCUUAUUAAGAGAAAUUGGCAUGGAAGUCCGCAGUGUGUCUUUUGUCACCAUGAGGAGAUAAUAAAACAUUUAUUCUUCCAAUGCAUAUUAGCUCAUUCUAUAUGGUCAGUCAUCCAAAUAGCUUCUAGCUUGUAUCCUCCCUGUAGUGUUGCUAAUGUAUUUGGCAACUGA